CAAUUAUUAUUGCUUACAUUCUCUCUAUAUCCAACACAUUCUCUCUGCAACUCUGUCAUAAACACACACACUCACACUCUAUUUCAGGUGUGUCACUCUGUGUGUGUGUGUGUGUUGUGAGUCAUAUACACAGAUAAGAGGAGAUGAUAAGAGAAAAGAUUUUCAGGGUUCACAGGCGCAAGCCAUCAUCAGUUGGGACUGAUGCAUCUGCACACAAAUUUGACUUCACAUUCUCCAAAAUUCAGGCUCUCCAGGUACCAAAAGGAUGGGACAAACUCUAUAUAUCUUUGAUCUCUUCAGAAUCAGCAAAAACGAUUCGUAAGUCGGGAAAAGGCUCGGUCAAGAAUGGAACUUGUCAAUGGACAGAAAUUCUUUCAGAAUCAAUAUGCACUUCAGAUGUUGGUGGUGAUUAUCAUCUCAAAUUUGUUGUUUCAACGGGAUCUUCUAAAUCUGGUAUUCUAGGAGAGACUACAUUAAAUUUAGCAGCCUUCUUGAGUUCAGAGUCUCCGACUUUAGUCUCAUUACCUUUGAAAAAGUGCAGUUAUGGGACAAGUCUACAAGUUGAAGUUAGAUGCCUGACACCACAAACAAAUCUCAGGGAUGAGAAAUGGAAAGAAACGAAUGCACAUAAGGAUGAGACUACAGAUAAUGACGACAUGGAAAAUCGAUCCGAAGUAUCCGAUUCUACAGUUACAAAGAGUACUGAGUCUUACUCCGGUAGUAACUUUGGCAAUUCAUCUCGUCCUAGGGAACUCGGUAGCAGGGAAACAAGUUUCUCUGCCUCAGUCUCACGCUACAGCUUCGAUUCAAUGGAUGAUUCUAUUGGAAGACAAAGCUUUUCCUCUCAAAGUGAGCGGAAUGGGCCAAACAAUGUUUUUGGAAGGCAAGAUUCAAUUGAAUCCAAUGAUAGUUCGUCUUACUGCUCUUAUUCUCCCCACGGUCCCAUCAGAUCAGUGCGUUCACUUCAGGGGCCGUUGGCAAGGGAGAACCAAAGUAACAAUCAAAGAGAAGAACUCAGAAGAUUAUCGCAUGCUGCUGCCUCAUUGUUACAGCAACAUGGCAGUUCCUCGAAGAUGUUUAAGGAAGACUAUGAUGCUAUAGUUCAAGAACUUGAGGCAGAAGCAAGGAUGUGGGAACAAAAUGCGAGGAAGAUGGCAGUUGAUAUGGAAAGUUUAAGGAAAGAGUUGUCUGAUCAGAAACUGAGUAUGACGAAACUGAAUACGGAACUUGCUAACUCGCAAUCAGAGAGUCGGAAAUUAACUGAAGAAAUCAAACACUUGAAAUCCCUCUUGGAGGAGUCAGCAGAGAAGCAAAAAGUUGAUCAAGAAACGGAAACAAGCAGUAUACAGAAAGAGUUGGAAGAUGAGAUGAGGUUGCUAAAGGAGGCAAAUGAGAAUUUAUCCAUACAGCUUAAGAAAACUCAAGAGUCAAACUUUGAGUUGAUUACGAUUCUUCAGGAAAUGGAGGAGACUAUGGAGAAACAGAAACUUGAGAUAAAAAGCCUUUCGGAGAUGUCGAAGGCAGAUAGCCAUGAAGAAGUUCCACAAGAGAAUAAUAGUAGCAGCUUAGAGAUUGAAUUGGUGAAUUCACAGGAGCUAAAACGAGCUUUACAGAGUGAAAUUCUGGUUCUGGAGAGUAAACUUGAGGACAAAGUAAUAGAAACAGAAAUUGAGCAAGAUCUGAAGAAUCAGAUUCUUAAGGGGUGCCUAGCUGAUUCCAGUCGUAGAUUAGCUGCUAAAGAGCAAGAAAUCAUGAAUCUGGAAUCCACAUUGUCGAGAGCUCUUAGUGAUGAGCCAAGAGAAGUAUAUGAACAUGGGAGCCUUGUUGAUGCAAGUGGAGAGAUUGAGAAGUUAAAGGGAAAGGUUAGAGAACUGGAGACAGAUUGCAAUGAGCUUACAGAAGAAAAUCUUGAACUUCUCUUGGUACUUAAAGAGUUAAGAAAGAAUGUUUCUGAAGAUAGCAUCGUGCGUCCCAUUUCAUCAUGUGAUGAUAUUUCAGCGAAAGGUAAGAACAAGGAACUUAAGUCACAGAUUUCGAUCGUUAAAGAUUGUAAUCUUGAUCUUGACCUCCAGAAAUCUAAUGAAGAACAAGAAGAGAAUGAAUCUGAAAUUGUUGAACUUCAAAAACAGUUAGUAAGUGAACCUGGAUCAAAUGAUGGUGGUAUCCUGGAAAACGUCUUUAAAUCAGGAACUAUACGGGAUGUGGAUGAAAUGUUUCCUGCAUUAUUGAUGCAGCUUCAGUCUUUCCUAGGCAGUAUAAAGAAGGAAAGUGAUCUUUCUCUGCUGCAUGCAAAUGGAUCUAAGGAUGCAAUCUGUGAUAUGUAUGGUUUGGAAUCUAUCCACUCAUUUCAGACAGCAAGAGUGAAAGAUGUUUUAAAUAGAAUAGUUCUAUUACUGGAUACCACAUUGACGGAAUAUGAAAACAAUUUUCAAAACAUUGAAGAAGAUGCUAGACGAGAAGGCGAGAGUAAUGCCUGUGAAGGCCAAAGUAGAAAGGCGUCUGUUAGUUUAGAGGAAAGCACACUUGAGCCAGGCAUGAGCUCAAAAGACGAAUUGGAUUCCAGUGAUGAAAGUACGUGUGACUGCAUGGUAGUUGAGCCUAAUGCUGAUACUUUGAGGAAUGAAAAAGAGAUUGAGGCUCAAAGUUAUCCCAAGAGCAGUAUGAAACUUCAGAACAAUAUGGAAAUUAUUGAUAGGGAUGGUACUGUCACCUCUGAUUGUUCACACAACUCGAUAAGUGAUAUGAUUCUGCUCAAUAGUAGCAAAAUUUCCCAUCUUUCACAUAAUAAAGUUGACAGAAUUACAUUUAUGGAGCCAGAAAACAACCAAACAGAGUGGGGGAAGCACUUAACUGAACUGGAAGAAGAAAAUAUUUACUUAUCACAACGAGUUUCUGGCUUGGAAGCUCAACUAAGAUAUCUAACUGAUACAAGGGAAUUGAGUCGUUUGGAGUUUCAGCAUUCAGAAUCUCAAGUUGUGGUUCUUCAGAACCAAAUCAGAAGACUGGAAGAAGAAAUUGAGUCACAAAAGCUCAAUAUGAAGCACAAGUUACUGGAAAUGGAAAAACGGUGGUCGGAAGCUCAGGAAGAGUGUACAAGUCUAAGCAAAUUGAACAUAAGGCUGCAGACCACAACUGAAAGUCUUAUUGAAGAAUAUAACUCAUUGCAAAAGUUCAAUGGAGAGCUAAGGGAACAAAAGUUGAAGUUGCAAAACCAGUGUAUGGUCUUGGAAGCAGAAGCGAGAAAGAUUCAAGAUUCUUGCUGCAGCUGUGCAGAAAAUAUGGGAACUUUAGAAGUAAAAUAUUCUUUACUGACGGAUGAAAUUACUGCAAAAGGGAAAAUCCCGAAUGCAGAACUUGAUUGUUUCAAUAUCCCAGAAGAAGAACAUGAAGACAAGCUUCUAAAAGAGAAGUACUUGCUGAAUAAAACAUAUAUGGAGAAGGCAAAAGAUGCUGCAAACCUUGAACUCAAGGUUGCAUAUGUAAGUGGUCAAGUAUCAACUUAUGUUGAAAAGGAACCGAGAUCUUUAGUAGCAGUAGCUAAAAAGCAUUAUGGAUAUCUAGAUAAAAGCAAACUGGAGAUGAGUAUAGAUGGAGUCCAGCAGGACGAUCUUGAAGGAUCUGAGAGGGAAAACAAGGUAGUUCUUGCAGGGAAUCAGGAAAAGCUCCAGAAAUUGUUUAACAAUAUCAUGCAUGAUGAAUCCAAACGCAAAUCCGUCAUUGAUGAGUUAGAAUCAAGAAUAGGACUUUCUGAACUAGAAAGGUUUCGGUUAGAGGAAGAAAACUCCGUUCUCCAUAGGCAGCUGCAGAUAGUUCCUGAGCUUCAAAAUGAAGUUUUGAGUCUAAGGGUCUCGCUUAAAGAAAUGAAGUUCCAAAAUCAGCUCCUCGAAGCUUCACUCGAGUCUGUGUCAGGAGAUUAUGAAGAACUAAAACACGAACGAGUUUCCAUGGUUCAAAGUAUCUCUAGCAUGCAGAAAGAAGUGUCAGAAGCAGAGGAUUCUAUACGUAAGAAGAAUGCACUGGAGGAGAAAAUUCUAAGGCUAGAAGGAGAUCUAGUUGCCAAAGAUGCAUUAUCUGUCCAGGAUGCUGAGAUGAAAAAUGAGCUCAAUCAGAUUAAAAUGGCAAACAGACAACUCCUGAUGAAGGUAAAACAUCUCGAAGACGUGCGAGAAGAUUUACAGAGAAUGGUGCAAGCCUUGGAAGAGGAACUGAAUCAGACAAGAUGUCAUGGUGCAAAUAUGAUUCAACAGUCAAAGCUUCCAAAGGGUGAAGAGGAUACAGUCGUGGCCGUGGGUCAGAGAAAAUUGUCUAUUGAUCCGCAUCAGUCUCAUAAGUACUUAAAUAUUCAAGAUAAUAUAGGCAUCACUGUGCACCAAGUUCAGGCUUUUAGUGAACGAGAUCGUUGUUUCAGAAGAUCUCGAGUUCCUGAAAUGGAUUAUGAAUCAAGAUUAAAACUUCUUGAGGAUGAGCUUGUCAAAGCUUUGGACUCCAGGGACAUGUACAAAUCACAGCUUGAGAGUGUUCUGGCAGUUGCUUCUAUCAAAUCAGAACCUAAAGAAACCACUGGAACUUCAAACACUGAAAAUAAGAUAUCACUGCUUGAGGCUGAGCUACAAGAAAUUCGUGAACGCUACCUCCAAAUAAGCCUGAAGUACGCAGAGGUGGAGGCUCAAAGAGAACAGCUUGUCAUGAAACUGAAAGCUCUCAACAGAUGAAAGCAGAGAAAAUUAGGGAAUUCUAGCACAGUGUUCUUGUUCGCUGCUUGCUCAUAACUACUGCUGCACUAGCCUCAAAAAAACAUCCAACUCUAGUAGAAUUUUCUGCUGAUCUCUGGCUCCAUUCAAUAUAUAAUUACGGAAACGUGAACGUCAUCUGUGAAUCAUGAUCGAGAAAACAUGUUUUGAGUAGUGGCACUCAUCAGGACCACCAAACAUCUAACAGAACUGGAGCAACUCCAAGAGCCGUACGAUGCAAUGUUGGGGUAUAACAGAAGAUGUCAUCUAAUGAAAGAAUUCUGUAGGGCUCCUCCAGAUUACACUCUCUUGAAGACAUUCAACUUUGAUGGAACACAAAGAAGGCAUUCCAGGUUGCCAUGGUUGGCUUGCCAAGUUUGCAUGCAAAAGGAUCAAAGAUUUUGUCCUCCUAACGGUACACAAGAGGAAUUCAUCAUCACCUCUUGGAUUUUAGGAAUGGAUAUGAUUUGGAGGAACCGAAACAAUAUUCUCCAUGGAAAAACAAAAGUGAAGGCAGAUGCCAUUGCCAGAAUUGCACAGGUCUGCACCAUCAAACACUUACAAGCUCAAGUGCUCAAAAGCCUCAAAGCUACUCCCUCUUCCUUUGACACCACCUGAAGGAUGGCUUUAAGGUUAGUACUGAUGUUGCAUUUUCUGAUGGUGAGGGAAUGGCUGCUAUUCGUAACUAUUAAGGUACAAUUAUUAGUGUGAAAAGCGAGUGGGUUUGGCCUCAUGGUUGAACCGCAACAAAAUUUUAGCUCUGAAAUCUGUCCAUCUUAUUUUGGAUAAUGCAAAGAUUGACAAAGCCAUUUUUUAGACUAUUCUCUUUUAGCUGCUGCAUCGAUCAAAAAUCAUUCGCCAGACAUGACCUGGAUAGCUUGGGCAUAAGUUAAAUGCCAAAGAACUUUGGGAAAAGUG